UGAAUAGAAGCCAAUAUUUGAGGCACCUAACUGUUAAUUAGAACAAAGUCUUUCUAUAGACCUAUUCAG
rnacentral:tRNA from 1 species